rnacentral:other from 1 species
CCCUACAGAGUACGUAUAACUUGAGUCAUAUUUAGAACCAACACUAAAUUGAUUGGGAGUCUUUCCUCUGGAUAUGGUGUGCAAGCUUACCUAGACGUAGUAAGAAGCCCGUAAGUAUUCAGGCAGACACCCACCUGUGUUAGCACAGGGUCUUAAAUCAGCUCAAACGGAACGGCUACACGUGGGGUU